rnacentral:rRNA from 1 species
UACGGAGGGUGCAAGCGUUAUCCGGAUUCACUGGGUUUAAAGGGUGCGUAGGUGGGUUGGUAAGUCAGUGGUGAAAUCUCCAGGCUUAACUUGGAAACUGCCAUUGAUACUAUCAAUCUUGAAUGCCGUGGAGGUCAGCGGAAUAUGUCAUGUAGCGGUGAAAUGCUUAGAUAUGACAUAGAACACCACUUGCGAAGGCAGCUGGCUACACGAAUAUUGACACUGAUGCACGAAAGCGUGGGGAUCAAACAGG